GCUAACGCGGAGCUAAUACCGCAUAUGUUCGCUCAUUCGGUUGGGCGAGUAAAGCAGCGAUGCGCUUAGGGAUGGGCCUGCGGCGGAUUAGGUAGUUGGUGGGGUAACGGCCUACCAAGCCGAUGAUCCGUAGGGGGCGUGAGAGCGUGGCCCCCCACACUGGCACUGAGACACGGGCCAGACUCCUACGGGAGGCAGCAGUGAGGAAUAUUGCACAAUGGGCGCAAGCCUGAUGCAGCAACGCCGCGUGAGGGACGAAGGCCUUCGGGUUGUAAACCUCUUUUCUGAGGGACGAGGAAGGACGGUACCUCAGGAAUAAGUCUCGGCUAACUACGUGCCAGCAGCCGCGGUAAAACGUAGGAGGCGAGCGUUAUCCGGAUUUACUGGGCGUAAAGCGCGCGCAGGUGGCUUCGUGAGUCGGACAUGAAAGCUCCUGGCUUAACUGGGAGAGGCUGUUCGAUACUGCGGGGCUUGAGGUUGGGAGAGGGACGCGGAAUUCCCGGUGUAGUGGUGGAAUGCGUAGAUAUCGGGAGGAACACCAGUGGCGCAAGCGGCGUCCUGGCCCACACCUGACGCUGAGGUGCGAAAGCGUGGGUAGCAAACAGGAUUAGAUACCCUGGUAGUCCACGCUGUAAACGAUGUCAACUGGGUGUCGGUAGUUUUACACUAUCGGUGCCGAAGCUAACGCG
rnacentral:rRNA from 1 species